rnacentral:lncRNA from 1 species
AGGUUUGUUUUUUUUGGCUUAUAAAGGGAAUACAGAACGUGAUAUAGGAGGAGGGGAACAACAGCAGUAUUGGCGGCAGCACACAAAGGAAUAAGAAGAACUUUGGUUCUUAAUUUCAUAGGUUCUUUAUCUAUUUCUUUGUGAUUUUUAUGGUCAUGCUUGGCUAACUCCUCUUUUUAGCACUUGAGAUGUGAAUCCUUUUUAUUUUUAUGUCUUAAUAUUUCAAUUCUUUGUAU